UGGGGAAUAUUGGACAAUGGGCGCAAGCCUGAUCCAGCCAUGCCGCGUGAGUGAUGACGGCCUUAGGGUUGUAAAGCUCUUUCGCCCGCGACGAUAAUGACGGUAGCGGGAGAAGAAGCCCCGGCUAACUUCGUGCCAGCAGCCGCGGUAAUACGAAGGGGGCUAGCGUUGUUCNCANUCACUGGGCGUAAAGGGUGCGCAGGCGGGCAUUUAAGUCAGGGGUGAAAUCCCGAGGCUCAACCUCGGAACGNCCUUUGAUACUGGAUGUCUUGAGUCCGGAAGAGGUGAGUGGAACUGCGAGUGUAGAGGUGAAAUUCGUAGAUAUUCGCAAGAACACCGGUGGCGAAGGCGGCUCACUGGUCCGGAACUGACGCUGAGGCACGACAGCGUGGGGAGCAAACAGGAUUAGAUACCCCUGGUAGUCCACGCCGUAAACGAUGAAUGCCAGCCGUUGGGUGAUUUAUCACUGAGUGGCGCAGCUAACGCUAUGAGCAUUCCGCCUGGGGAGUACGGUCGCAAGAUU
rnacentral:rRNA from 1 species